CGGCGAUACUCAGCGUCUCCACCAUCCCUGGAGCCCCGGGGUCAGCACCAUGGACACGCGCACACGCGCUCAAAUCUCCCACGCGUGGAUCACAGAGAAGUUCCGAGUCCGGGCCGAGGGCGGGAACGAGUCGUGGCGUGUGACGGCAUCCUGUGGAGUGAAAAGGAGAGACUUUAAUUGUCACUGCCGAUGCGCGGAAAGUCCACCCCGGCGGAUCUGACCUUGGCGGGAGUCCCGCGUGUCUUCAUGGCUUCUUCUUCAUCGUCGUGCGUCUCCAUCACGCGCCCCACGUGAUCUAAUGAUCUCUCCCAUCGACCAUCAACAGAUGCCUUCCGGUUUGAAGGUAAUCCACGCAGGAGCUCGGCCGUUGGGUUUGUGUAAUGGCAUCCUAUCGACGAUCACCGUGCGUCUGCGGAUGGGAAGACACCAGCCUCUCUCUCUCUCUCUCUCUCUCUUUCUCUCUCUCUUUCUCGCUCUCUCUCUCUCUUUCUCUCUCGUACCCCCGCGUGAUCACGUGAUGCAGCGUGGAGGUGCAGGACUCCACAUCAUCUCGCUGAAGGAUACGAUUUAUUAGCAGAGAGGGUCCAAGUGCUUCAAAGUAAAGGCUCAGCAAUGGAACACAGCAGGAGUCUUUGUUGAGAACCCGUUAUCAGUCUGCUGAGCUGGAAGACAGAAACCAAUCUUCACCGGGAGCAGAAUAGAAAACCUUAACUCUGAAAUCAUGCCCGCUAACAGCCAAGGACUUCAAGGACCUCAACGAAGAUAAGACGACAGCACGCAGACGACGCAGAGACAAGGCCCCAGCACAUUCCGUCACAUAUUUUGCGUACUGUAGCUGCUUGGCAUAAUAUAUGUGACCAUUCCUUUUAGAGGCGGCCUCAGUGAUGUUGACUGUGGAACUCCUGAGUAAAUAGAGGAAUUUAGCUACUCAUGAGCUAAAUUGAACUCUGUCUCUGCAUGCUUCCUUGCUUCUUGUCUGUUUAAUAGAUGUCAUCAGUGUUUGAACCUGACAAUCAACCCAAUACACAAAAACAAAUUUUGUAAUAUGAGAAAUGACUGUCAGAA